GACGAACGCUGGCGGCGUGCCUAAUACAUGCAAGUAGAACGCAGUUGCGAACGGGUGAGUAACGCGUAGGUAACUGCCUGGUAGCGGGGGAUAACUAUUGGAAACGAUAGCUAAUACCGCAUACUACCAGAUGGACCUGCGUUGUAUUAGCUAGUUGGUGGGGUAACGGCUCACCAAGGCAACGAUACAUAGCCGACCUGAGAGGGGGAGUGGACACACUGGGACUGGUACGGGGCCCAGACUCCUACGGGAGGAAGCAGUAGGAAUUCUUUGGCAAUGGCGGGAGGUCUGAACGGGCAACGCCGCGUGAGUGAGGAAGGUUUUCGGAUCGUAAAGCUCUGUUGUAAGAAAGGCGGUAUCUUACCAGAAAGGGACGGCUAACUCCGUGCCAGCGGCCGCGGUAAUAC
rnacentral:rRNA from 1 species